GGGUUGUGAGGUUAAGCGACUAAGCGUACACGGUGGAUGCCCUGGCAGUCAGAGGCGAUGAAGGACGUGCUAAUCUGCGAUAAGCGUCGGUAAGGUGAUAUGAACCGUUAUAACCGGCGAUUUCCGAAUGGGGAAACCCAGUGUGAUUCGUCACACUAUCGUUAACUGAAUACAUAGGUUAACGAAGCGAACCGGGGGAACUGAAA
rnacentral:rRNA from 1 species